rnacentral:rRNA from 1 species
UACGGGGGGGGGCAAGCGUUGUUCGGAAUUACUGGGCGUAAAGGGCUCGUAGGUGGCCAACUAAGUCAGACGUGAAAUCCCUCGGCUUAACCGGGGAACUGCGUCUGAUACUGGUUGGCUUGAGUUUGGGAGAGGGACGCGGAAUUCCCAGUGUAGAGGUGAAAUUCGUAGAUAUUGGGAAGAACACCGGUGGCGAAGGCGGCGCUCUGGACCGAGACUGACGCUGAGGCGCGAAAGCGUGGGGAGCAAACAGG